UACGAAGGGUGCAAGCGUUACUCGGAAUUACUGGGCGUAAAGCGUGCGUAGGUGGUUUGUUAAGUCUGUUGUGAAAGCCCCGGGCUCAACCUGGGAAUGGCAAUGGAUACUGGCAAGCUAGAGUGCGGUAGAGGGUAGUGGAAUUCCCGGUGUAGCGGUGAAAUGCGUAGAUAUCGGAAGGAACACCAGUGGCGAAAGCGGCUUCCUGGUCCAGCACCGACGUUCAGGCACGGAAAGCGUGGGGAGCAAACAGG
rnacentral:rRNA from 1 species